GCCUAGGUGGCUCAGUUGGUUAAGCGUCUGACUUUGGCUCAUGUCAUGAUCUCAUGGUUUGUGGGUUCAAGCCCCACGUUGGGCU
rnacentral:tRNA from 1 species